UACGAAGGGGGCUAGCGUUGCUCGGAAUCACUGGGCGUAAAGCGCACGUAGGCGGAUCUUUAAGUCAGGGGUGAAAUCCUGGAGCUCAACUCCAGAACUGCCUUUGAUACUGGGGAUCUCGAGUCCGGGAGAGGUGAGUGGAACUGCGAGUGUAGAGGUGAAAUUCGUAGAUAUUCGCAAGAACACCAGUGGCGAAGGCGGCUCACUGGCCCGAUACUGACGCUGAGACGCGAAAGCGUGGGGAGCGAACAGG
rnacentral:rRNA from 1 species